CUCCACCACAUUUUAAUAUCCGCAAAGGAUCCAGCGGCACUUGCGGGGGAGGUAUGGGGCUUGUUCCUCCCAAUCAACGGGAACCGUAGCCGCAUGUAGAGUUAAAAGAAUAAGGUCAACGCAGAGGAGUGCGCGGAGCUGAACCCACACUAUCCAUUCGUAUCUAGUGUGUCUCGAGUUCAGAAUGAGAUGCUGGAGGCGGGGUGCGACCCACAUGCACGCCCCAUCCCGUUCAGCCCCGGCUUUAGUGCUGUCGUGAUCGUAAUCAACUAAAGCCUCUCUACCCACAAAAGGGAGGAGGAGAGGGAACAAUUGCAUGCUCCUCGAGCUCGCUGCCGAGACUUCUCGAGAUCAAUAUUAGGGCAUGUAUUUACUCCUGGAUUGCACAAGUUUGGUUCUUGUGGGUUCGCUCCAACAAGGGUGGGGGUGGCAUCACUUCGACAGUAGGCGAAGGGGGGCUCUCGGCUCUUUCGGGAAGUAAGUUGGGCUGACCAAUUUCUUUCACUAUUGGUGCGGAUGGGGUGGCAGUGCAUACUGUAUUGUCCCUCCCUUCAUGCGGGGGUAUCUAACUGCUGGGACGGACGUCUUGGUCAACGAAUGGUGGGAACACUGGAGUGAUACGAGUUGCUUUAAUUAUUUCUUGUGGUUGAUUAACAUCUGAGCUAGCUUUUUGUAUGGCCAUUAUUCUGGAGUUUGAGACUGCCAUAUCAGUACCCUGUCCUUUGGUCGGGGGUCAAAUAGGGGAUUGUCUCUGGAGAUGGCAAUUCAUAUCUUGGUGGGGCAUCGAACAGGGGAUUGUCUUUGGAAAAGGCAAUAUACAUCUCGAUCGUGGGUCAUUGUUGGGACCGCUAGCAGAUCUUUUCGAAUCGCUAUGUCGGGCUCUGGUGCCAGUAAGGGCGAUCAUACCAUAUUGACAUCUUCUUCAUUCUGAGUCAGAGAAAGAAUCCGAGCGCUGACUUAUUCGGGGAUCAGUGAACUAUGCAUUUUGCUCGAGGAUGUUGAAUGAGGCGGAACGAAUCUUUGAUGAGUAUUGUCUUCCACAAAGGCGGGUGGACCAUUUGCUCUUGACCCUUCUCACUGCAUUCUGCCGUUUUGCAUCGAUGGAUAGCCAAUGCAUUGCCCAUGUUCUCUGAGGUGGUACUCUGAUCAUAUUUGAAUGCUCCACGUCUUUGGUAUUGUUAGCUCCUAAUUGGAGGGUGUGAUUUUGUGCCGGGGGCAGGACAGCUGGUUGUUCCUGCGUCAGUGCAGUCGCAUCCACUACUCCUCUUUUCGAUGAUUUGAUCCCUUUGCAUUUCUUUAUCAAGUGUUUUGUGCUACGAUAGAAAGGGCACCUAAUUGGAAGAUUACAAUAAUCAACUGAAAUAACAGAGUCCUCACUUGUUCCAUUCGUGAUAGACAUGAGAGUACACCAACGGAUCCCCGCUUCCAAUGCGACACAGAAUCGUUGUUCCGCAUUGGCGGUGUCGUGUGAGUCUCUGCCAAGCACAACAUCCAAACCACCGGCGAUUUGGGAAGCAACUAACAAGAAUUCACUUGCUCUUUUACUAUAGACAGCCACUUCGUUAAAAAAACGGGGGUUUACUUACCUCCCACGAAAUAGGCCACCACUGCAUGCUUCUGGAGGUGCUCAAUUUCUUUCUUCACAACAUGGUCCACAUAAACCUCCAGCACCUCCAUGUGUAGAAGGAACCCCGUGCGGCUCCAUACGUACCCACUCGGAAGUUUUUCACCCUCCGAUGGAAUUGUUGGGUGGAAUUUGGCAUGUUUCUCCAUGUUGGUGACCAUUACAAUAGAAAUUCACCACAUUUCAUGAUAAAUGGCUGCUGUGUAGUGUGAUCACACAUGCAAAUUUCAAGCAUCUUCAGCUCUCUACAGUUUAAAGCUCUUCAUCUUGCUUUGCUUGCCAUGUAUUGCACAGGGAAAAGCUAGAGGUGGAGUACAGCACAGUGAAGAGCUGCCAUGCAUUGCAGACAGUUGCCAAUUUUGUAGGUAGAAACUCAUGCACUUUGACAUUGGUCGAGGGGUUUGUCAGCUCUGGACCUCUCCUGGAAGAAAGCCUUUGUAGUGAUAGCUUGAUGAGCUUGCAAGCUACAAGAUGAAGUGGUUGCACCUUCUUUUAGGCUCACAACUUUGCAGUGACUGCACAGGCAGUUCAUUGGAAGGUGAGUACAACUGCUUUACUAGAGGUACAGUAACAUUAGUACUAUGCAAGAGAAAUAGUAAUCAUGUAACAACCAUUGGUGGCACCUUUCCACUGCCCUGCUGAUAUUUAUUUGCACACUUUUGCACAAAUAAAUAAAUAAAUAAAUAUAUA